CAUAGUGGGCGCACUGCUUCAAUCUUGUGCUAACCUGUUACCUUGGGCUUCAGGUGCUUUGCUGAAUCUAUAGCGGACAUCCACCUCUUUAAAACCAUAAAAAUGCCCAUUCCUCGUAUGUCAACAACUGGGCAUAAGACUAGCAAACAGAAUUAGACCGAUCCUGACCCCCCCCCCCAAUAAAAAACAAGGCUGAACAUGGGAGCUGUUUUUCAGAGGUGGCGCUGACAGGAUUCAGAAGUGACGCGGAAUUAGCAACUUUUCUGCUCGACAAGAAAUAAGGCACACACUUCCAAGCAGUGGAGCUUCUUGAACGUUCUACCUUCCCGACAAGAAGCAGAUGGUGUUUUGGCGUCUCAUAAAGGACCUACUAGAUAUUCUGAGGCGAGAGGCCGCGCGUGUCCACCUCUCCGAUCCUCCUCCUGUAUGCAAAGCAGGUGUCAGCCAGGACAAGAAGGUAGCGACUUCCUCACAAAGGAGACGACAGGGGUCUUGGAAGAGCCUGUGAUAACGCACGCACACACGCACAAGGAGGAGGGGAGAUGGGGGGGUAAGGAGUGCAAGGAGCUGUCCAUCAUUAGUAUUCCAGCAGGAGGCUCCUGGCCCGGCCCAGACAUCUGAGCGGAGCAGCCGCCACCGCAGAUAAAGAAGAAGCCAUUAAUCCAUGGAAGAUUACCAGCACUGAUACUUUAUCCCGCCGUAAUACAGCAAUGCAAGCGCACUCGUCCCGUUUACAAUGGCGUCAGAGGGAAAACCAGAGGAGAGGGAGGAAGAAGAGGGAGUGGUGCCAGCUCACCUUGUGGAUGCAAAGAUGGCAGCGGGACACAUUAAGAGUUAGCUCGGAUUUGAUUUGGAGAAUUUGUGUCACAGAU